rnacentral:lncRNA from 10 species
UGUUUAGGAUACAAAGUGAUAUUAUGAUUUAUGAAUACAAUGUAGCAUAAUUAAAUCACUGUCUAUACAGCAUUUCAUAUGGGCUAAGUCCCGCUUUUUGGGGAGAGUUUCGGAUUCCUAGUAAGGCUGUAGGCAACAGAGCAGGCCAUGCAAGAUGGGUUUCUUGGGUUAGCUUUUUUAGAUGUCAUUUGAGUGUUUCGUUCAUUUUCUCGACUCUUCCUGAGGAUUGUGGCCUCCAGGCGCAGUGUAUUUUUUUUAUCACUAGGUGGAUAUUAAUUAGGUACCUGCAAACCACUAUGCAAAGCUAAAUAAGAAAUAAAAAUUUUUUUUAUGGCCGAGCACCAUGCCUCAUGCCUGUAAUCCCAGCACUUUCGGAGACCGAGGGGGUGGAUCACCUAAGGUCAGGAGUUCAAGACCAGUCUGGCCAACAGGGUGAAACCCCGUCUUUACUAAAAAAUACAAAAAGAUGGCCGGGCGUGGUGUCAGGCACCUGUAAUC